rnacentral:rRNA from 1 species
GACGUAGGUGGCGAACGUUAUCCGGAAUUAUUGGGCGUAAAGGGUGCGUAGGCGGCAUGAUAAGUUAUUGGCGGCAAAUCGAGGCUCAACCUCGUGGAAACUGAUAAUACUGUCUUGCUUGAGUGCGGAAGAGGUUAACGGAACUCCAUGUGGAGCGGUAAAAUGUGUAGAUAUAUGGAAGAACAUCAAUAACGGCGAAGGCAGUUAACUAGUCUGUUACUGACGUUGAGGCACGAAAGCGUGGGGAGCAAAAAGG